UCAUGCCUCCCACUCCCGAUGGAGGCCCCAAAUGUCGGACCCCCCUUUUUUGUAUCUGUCUGGGUGUCUGGGGCGCAUAGCGACACGGGACAGCCGGCUCGCUGGCCGGCUGCCCGUCCGGUCACGUGCUUGCGUCCCGACACCCACCAUAAAACCUAUGUUCUCUAAAUACACUCUCUCACUUCUCCUCUACCGACUGUGACGCCAACACCAUCCGCGGACCCCGGCUCCGACGAGGGCGGCCGAAAUGGCCGGCCCACAAUUGGUGCCAGCGGUGGUGGUUGGUUGUCGGUGGAGGACUUUUGGCUUCAGGUUCGUGCUUCUUGUGGCGGAACGAGUGCAGCGUCAAAUAAUACCCAAAGGACAUGCAUGCUUCUCGAUAUUCCCAAUUAAUUAACAGUAUACUUUAUCGAACUAACUACUAAUUAGCUUUAAUUUUGGUCAUCUGGUGAACAAAAAACGACUUCUAUAACAUUGACCAAUAACGUUUGGCCAUUCUGAACAAUUUACACCAGCGAAAGUAAUAAGUGGCAAUAAAAAAUUGUCCACAGAAAGUUUGCCAAUUCAACAAUUUACAGCGAUAUAACUACAUUAGAAGUAUUGCUGUUUGCAUGCCUUCCCAAACGAUUUCACGGGUAUGACGUGAUACACAGAUGCACUCGUUCAGAAGACGCCACUCUUUAAAAGGACUUCAUUUUUUUCAACCGUAUAUUUUUUUUAUUAAAUAACAAGUAAGUUCUAACAAUAGUUAGAUAUUCCAAUAACACUUUAACCCACUAAAAACAUUGGCCUCUUCAAUUUAUUCGUUAAAAAUAAGUCACUUGGCAGUACUAUUAAAACCGGUCUUUUGCUAGUCAUUGGCUCAUUAGCCCCAUUUUUUUUCCUUACUACUCACUUUGCGACGUAACCGAUCUCUCGAUCGACUGACCGGCGGUACUGCCCGUUUUUAACAAUCAUUCAAUGUUUUGCUAUCCGCUGUGUCAAAAACAUGUCUUCCGUGUCAUUUAUACCAUGAUGUCUUCCAAUGAAUGUUCAGCCUUCACAAAGUUCAUACUGCCGUUUAAUCACACUAUAUUGUUAUCACACACCAGGGAAAAUGUAUCACUGACCGGCACAGCGAUAGCACAACAUGAUAACAAAAAGUAUAUGUGGAUGCAUGUUUGAAUACUUGGACACGGAAACAAAUUCGAAUGUCCUACGGACCCAAAUGUUUUGGCCUUUGAAAGUCCAUGGGUUCCGUGGCACGCCUGGGGAAGCAUUACGACACUUGUGUCGCCCAGUGCUACGUGCCUUUUGUACAAAUGUUGUACUGUACAGCUGUAAAUAUGAAUGACUGUUUUGUAUGAUGUAUAUGUUGGGGCAUUGUUUCGGCACAUUUUAAUUCGGUUCUUUUUCUAUUACAGGCCUUGCGUUUCUGUUACCCAUCUGGGAGUGGCCACUAUCUGACUCCCCGAGCAUCGACUACGGAGAAACGCCGAUACGCAUCACAGUCUGCAAAAGCUGGCUGAUGAUAGUCAUGAUGGGAUCGGACGCUCAUCGCCGACCCGUCUGGCUGUCUCAGUCGCUCUGCAUCUGAUCCACGAAUCACACACUGCAACUGCGGACGCCAUCACCGCCUGCAACGGCUGCAACUGCAACCAGCAGGUGGCCUAGGUCCAAAGCCAACGCCUGGCUGACCCACAUGGCCGCCUGCCGUCGCUGCUACCUCAUCUGCUCAUCGUGCCUCGCUGUUCUCCGUCCGUUCGUCCGUCACUGUCGUCGCCCGUGCCAGCCGCCAUCACCAUGGCUGAGCACAACUCGUCGCCCGCCCGCUGUCGAUGAACAACACGGCUACCGGCACCCUCGCUAGCAACACCAAGUUCUGGUACGCUGACGUCUCCGGUAUCAGUGCUGUGCGGCGGCAGCCAACGCCUCGUGAACGGUAAAGGCCACACCGUCACGGCGCACCAUGGCCGCUGCCCCUUCACAACCAGCUCAGACGUCAGCACCCAACAAGCAGAGGUGUCUGGUCCCACGCAUCGACAACGGAACACCAUCGCGGCGACGAUAACAGCGACGACUACAAUGACGAGACAACCAAACCGGAGAGCAGCGACAACAGCAGCAGCAGUAGUAGCAACAACAGGCGUACCAGUACCAGUAGCAGCAGCAGCCGUACCUGCAGUAGCAGCCGUACCUGCAGCAGCAGCCGUACCUGCAGCAGUAGCAGUCGUACCUGGCGUUCCAUGCGCGGUGUCAUACGUGGAUCUAUGCAGUUAGGAUCGUGAUUGCUUAUUGGUCGCCUCCUCUUGUCGGCUUGUUGGGGGAGGAAAGAUAUGUGGAGAAGGAAAUCAUGCCUCCCACUCCCGAUGGAGGCCCCAAAUGUCGGACCCCCCUUUUUUGUAUCUGUCUGGGUGUCUGGGGCGCAUAGCGACACGGGACAGCCGGCUCGCUGGCCGGCUGCCCGUCCGGUCACGUGCUUGCGUCCCGACACCCACCAUAAAACCUAUGUUCUCUAAAUACACUCUCUCACUUCUCCUC